rnacentral:rRNA from 1 species
AGUGAACGCUGGCGGUAGGCCUAACACAUGCAAGUCGGACGGCAGCACAGUAAGAGCUUGCUCUUACGGGUGGCGAGUGGCGGACGGGUGAGGAAUACAUCGGAAUCUACUUUUUCGUGGGGGAUAACGUAGGGAAACUUACGCUAAUACCGCAUACGACCUACGGGUGAAAGCAGGGGAUCUUCGGACCUUGCGCGAUUGAAUGAGCUGAUGUCGGAUUAGCUAGUUGGCGGGGUAAAGGCCCACCAAGGCGACGAUCCGUAGCUGGUCUGAGAGGAUGAUCAGCCACACUGGAACUGAGACACGGUCCAGACUCCUACGGGAGGCAGCAGUGGGGAAUAUUGGACAAUGGGCGCAAGCCUGAUCCAGCCAUACCGCGUGGGUGAAGAAGGCCUUCGGGUUGUAAAGCCCUUUUGUUGGGAAAGAAAAGCAGCAGGUUAAUACCCCGCUGUUCUGACGGUACCCAAAGAAUAAGCACCGGCUAACUUCGUG